GAUCCUGGCUCAGAUUGAACGCUGGCGGCAGGCCUAACACAUGCAAGUCGGGCGGUAGCACAAAGAGCUUGCUCUCGGGUGACGAGCGGCGGACGGGUGAGUAAUGUCUGGGAAACUGCCUGAUGGAGGGGGAUAACUACUGGAAACGGUAGCUAAUACCGCAUAAUGUCGCAAGACCAAAGUGGGGGACCUUCGGGCCUCAUACCAUCAGAUGUGCCCAGAUGGGAUUAGCUAGUAGG
rnacentral:rRNA from 1 species